GGGCAUUCUGAGGGCAGUAAACAGAGUCAGUCAUAAGCAGGACCUUUAGAUUGCUGCUAAGAUAACUUCCUCUCUCUAUAAAGACUUCUACAAACCAGGAGAAUUGAACUCAAUGAUAUUAGAGAUGAUGGAACAGCAGCUGUCCCAUGAAGAAAAGAUCAAAGGAAUACAGCCAAAAAUGGCAGGAGAAAAGUAUUAUUCGAGAGUUUCAGGGGCCGGAGAGCACGUAUUCUGUUGGUGGACCCAAUCAUCUGGCUGUGGACUGAAAGUGUAUGAACUUUAACUAGAGGAUGUUUGGGGGAGUCUAUGCAACUCUAGCAUAUCUGACAACAGGUAAAUUUUUCAAAGUAUUCAGUAGUCCUAAAGGGUUCAUCAGUGAGAAGAGUACUGUGGUCCUGUAGCUGGGACCCUGAGGGCGCAAUGUCAGGGUUCUAGCCAAUGGAAAGAGUGGCAUAAUUUAAAUAGUCUCCUUGCAAAUCUGCUGACACCAAGCUCACCAAAUCCCUUUACCUUUCUCUGAGUUCAUCUGACUGGCCAUAGCCUCAGGAGUUGACUUGAAACACUCUCCCCUCUUUUUUUUUUUUUUUUUUUUUUUGCCUCUUCUAGGCCCACUCCCAUGGCAUAUGGAGGUUCCCAGGCUAGAGGUCAAAUCGGAGCUGUAGCUGCCGACCUACACCAGAGCCACAGCAACUUGAGAUCUGAGCCACGUCUUCGACCUACACCACAGCUCAUGGCAACGCCGGAUCCAUAAUCCACUGAGCAAGACCAGGCAUCGAACCUGCAACCUCAUGGUUCCUAGUCGGAUUCGUUGAUCACUGAGCCACAACGGGAACUCCAAAUAGUCUCCCCUCUUGACUUCCACGAUGCCAUGCUCUCCUGGGUUUCUUUCAACUUCCCUGGUCCGCUCACCUCAGUGCCCUUUACUGAACACCCUCCUCCUCUUCUCCAGAUGCUAUAAUUCCUCAGGGCUCUUUCCUAGGUUCUCCUCUCUCCCUCUAUAGUUUUUUCCCCUGGUGAAUCAUGUGUUCUUAUGGUUUUAAACACUAUCUAGAGAAUAAUAAAUGUCACAUUUACAUUUGAGCCUAGACCUCUAUUGAAGUCUAGUUCAACCUAGACUAGUUCAGCCUAGACUAGUCUAGUUGAGCCUAGACUUCGAUUCCCACCACAAGGAUCAUUCUCUUCUACCUCCUAACUGACUUUUCUGGUUCCAUGUUCCUAACAUAACAUGUACAGAAAGUGAACUUUUCCUCUUUUCCCCACUUAUACUUUCUCCUGUCAUUCUCAUCUUUAAAAAAG
rnacentral:lncRNA from 9 species